CCUACGGGUGGCAGCAGUGAGGAAUAUUGGACAAUGGGCGCAAGCCUGAACCAGCCACGUAGCGUGAAGGAUGACUGCUCUACGGGUUGUAAGCUUCUUUAAUGAAGGAAUAACGUGAUGCACGUGUGCCUUUUUGUAUGUCCUUUAUGAAUAACGAUCGGCUAACUCCGUGCCAGCAGCCGCGGUAAUACGGAGGAUCAGCGUGUUAGCCGGAUUUUUUGGGUUUAAAGGGAGCGCAGACGGCGUUGCAAGCGAGGAGUGAAAGCCCGGGGCACAACCCCGGAACUGCUCUUGAAACUGUGUUGCUGGAGUGCAGGAGAGGCAGGCGGAAUGCCUGGUGUAGCGGUGAAAUGCGUAGAUAUCAGGAGGAACACCGGUGGCGAAGGCGGCCUGCUGGACUGCAACUGACGUUGAGGCCCGAAAGCGUGGGGAGCAAACAGGAUUAGAUACCCCAGUAGUC
rnacentral:rRNA from 1 species